ACUGAACCAUAUCCAACGACUAGCGCCGACAGGCGACGGCGACGGUAAGUCAUUACUCGUUAGAUGAUCUGUAGUCUGUAGAUCUGUAGUUCUGCACUCUUAGAUCUGAGAUCUGUAGUCCAUGCUUUUGGGGAAACAACUUGUAUGAUGUUUUUGUAGUACAAUGCUUCCUAAAAUUCUACUUGAAUCAAACUUUUGCCAAUCUUUUUGAUUACAUAUAUUUGAGAAUUUUAUUGUUGUCUGUUAAGAUAACUAUCGUCUAUCAAACACAUCUAUCACACUUUAACAGUAUUGAAGAAAUUGAAAAAGGUACAUCACAGUAACACUAUAACACUUUGUAUUGUUUAUUUAUUUUUUUGUAAUGUAGUUUAAAUUCUUCUUAAUAAAUUAUGAUUUGCUCACAUUUGUCUUUUAAAAAUUGCAGAAUUUUCAGCAGGCGAUUUAGAUGCAUCAAUCUUGGAUAUGUAAUAUGGUUGAUUUGCUCGAGAAUGUGGACUUGAUAGUUGAGAGAAUUGUGCCUUGUGCCGUUGUGCGUUGUUUGUUUUUAAUCUUGGAUUAGUUGGAUAUGUAAUAUGGUUGAUUGGAUUACUUGCUAGUGAGUAGUGGGUACUUUAGUUCUGUUAUGUUCAGCUGAUAAAAUGAUGUUAUGUUCUGUUAUGUUCAGUUUAUCAGGUUAUGUUUUAUCAUAUGGUUAUGACUUAUGAGGUUAUUUUCUGUUAUGUUCAGGUGAUAAAAUGAU
rnacentral:lncRNA from 1 species